CAGCUCGUGUCGUGAGAUGUUCGGUUAAGUCCGCUAACGAGCGCAACCUCGUCGUAUGUUAUAUGUGUCAUACGAGACUGCCGGUAAAAAGCCGGAGGAAGGUGAGGAUGAUGUCAAGUCAGCAUGACCUUUAUAUCCAGGGCUACACACACGCUACAAUGGUCUGUACAAUGGGUAGCCAAGCCGCGAGGCGGAGCCAAUCCUGAAAGCAGGCCUCAGUUCAGAUUUGCAGUCUGCAACUCGACUGCAUGAAGCCGGAGUUGCUAGUAACCGCAGGUCAGCAAUACUGCGGUGAAUACGUUCCCGGGUCUU
rnacentral:rRNA from 1 species